rnacentral:rRNA from 3 species
GAUGCCAGCUAGCGAUCCGCCAAAGUUCCUCCGAUGACUUGGUGGGCAGCUUCCGGGAAACCAAAGCAUUUGGGUUCCGGGGGAAGUAUGGUUGCAAAGCUGAAACUUAAAGGAAUUGACGGAAGGGCACCACCAGGAGUGGAGCCUGCGGCUUAAUUUGACUCAACACGGGAAACCUCACCAGGCCCGGACACCGGAAGGAUUGACAGAUUGAGAGCUCUUUCUUGAUUCGGUGGGUGGUGGUGCAUGGCCGUUCUUAGUUGGUGGAGCGAUUUGUCUGGUUAAUUCCGAUAACGAACGAGACUCUAGCCUACUAAAUAGACGUACUUUAUUACCGGCAUCUCAAGGCCCAU